rnacentral:pre_miRNA from 1 species
AUAACCUGAAGUCUAGCAAUAACCUGAAGUCUAGCAAUAACCAUUGCUAGACUUCAUGUUAUUGCUAGACUUCAGGUUAUUGCUAGACUUCAGGUUAUU